rnacentral:rRNA from 1 species
UUGACCUACGGGACGCAGCAGUGGGGAAUAUUGCGCAAUGGACGAAAGUCUGACGCAGCGACGCCGCGUGAGGGAUGAAGGUUUUCGGAUCGUAAACCUCUGUCAGGAGGGAAGAAAGCGUAUGGCGCCAAUCAGCCAUGCGUUGACGGUACCUCCAAAGGAAGCGCCGGCUAACUCCGUGCCAGCAGCCGCGGUAAUACGGAGGGUGCGAGCGUUAAUCGGAAUUACUGGGCGUAAAGCGCUCGUCGGCGGUAUGUCAAGUCAAGGGUGCAAUCCCCGCGCUCAACGUGGGAACUGCCUUUGAA